AACGAACGCUGGCGGCAUGCCUAACACAUGCAAGUCGAACGAUCCCUUCGGGGAUAGUGGCGCACGGGUGCGUAACGCGUGGGAACCUGCCCUUAGGUUCGGAAUAACUCAGAGAAAUUUGAGCUAAUACCGGAUAAUGUCUUCGGACCAAAGAUUUAUCGCCUUUGGAUGGGCCCGCGUUGGAUUAGCUAGUUGGUGGGGUAAAGGCCUACCAAGGCGACGAUCCAUAGCUGGUCUGAGAGGAUGAUCAGCCACACUGGGACUGAGACACGGCCCAGACUCCUACGGGAGGCAGCAGUGGGGAAUAUUGGACAAUGGGCGAAAGCCUGAUCCAGCAAUGCCGCGUGAGUGGUGAAGGCCUUAGGGUUGUAAAGCUCUUUUACCCGGGAUGAUAAUGACAGUACCGGGAGAAUAAGCCCCGGCUAACUCCGUG
rnacentral:rRNA from 1 species